rnacentral:misc_RNA from 1 species
GUUUUACGGUUAUUGCCAACGUAUUAAUGGUUAAAAUAAUCUUUUCUUUUAUGUUUCUGUUUGUUUUGUUUGUUUUAUUUUUUUUUAUUUUUAUUUUUUUGUAUAACUGCUUGUAAUUUUAUAUAUUCUGUCAGUCAUAAUCCAAAAUACUAACGGGUAUUCAUUGUGUCAUAAUGACAAGGUACAUGUAUUCAUCCUAAUGAAUUGUGUCUUUGUCGUUACAGAUUCAUUUUGUGUCUUUUGUAUCUUAAAUGAAUAAAUGAAAAUAGAAUAAU